rnacentral:misc_RNA from 1 species
GAAAUGCGAUAAGUAAUGUGAAUUGCAGAAUUCAGUGAAUCAUCGAAUCUUUGAACGCACAUUGCGCCCAUCAGUAUUCUGGUGGGCAUGCCUGUUCGAGCGUCAUUUCAACCCUUAAGCCUCGUUGCUUAGUGUUGGGAGCCUACGGAGACGUAGCCCCCCAAAGUCAGUGGCGGAGUCGGUUCGCACUCUAGGCGUAGUAAUUUCUAUCUCGUCUCUGCAGUCGGAUCGUCCCCUGCCGUAAAACACCCCAAUUUUUAAAGGUUGACCUCGGAUCAGGUAGGAAUACCCGCUGAACUUAA